rnacentral:tRNA from 1 species
UCCUGGUGGCUCAGAUAGUAAAGAAUCUGCCUGCAAUGCAGGAGGCCCAGGUUCAAUCCCUGGGUCGGGAA